AAGUCGUAACAAGGUUUCCGUAGGUGAACCUGCGGAAGGAUCAUUAACACGUAUCCAACGUUAAAACCCCCCGUGAACCUUCAUUAUGCUGGUAAAGUGCCAUCGUACGUUGCAAUCCCGACCUCUAUAGUCUGAAAGAGUCAUACCAUUAUAGCAUAUCGCAAUGGAUCUGGCAUUCCUCUGCUUGUUAGUGUCUGAAAGUGUCACUAGCUCUGUACGGAUGGCGCAGUAACGAUCGCUAGAGGCCGACACGGCCGGCGACCAGGUCCCUGGGUGAAAGCCCCCUAUAGUCACCUCCAUUGCACGAUUAACGCGGUGUGCGAUUCGUACGCACCCUCCAUAAAAUGCUUAGAACAACUGUUAACAAUGGAUAUCUUGGUUCUC
rnacentral:misc_RNA from 1 species